rnacentral:rRNA from 1 species
UACGGAGGGUGCGAGCGUUGUCCGGAAUCACUGGGCGUAAAGGGCGCGUAGGUGGCUUGGCGCGCGUGCGGUGAAAGCCCGGGGCUCAACUCCGGGUCUGCCGUGCGGACGGCCAUGGCUAGAGCACUGUAGAGGCAGGUAGAAUUCCGGGUGUAGCGGUGGAAUGCGUAGAGAUCCGGAAGAAUACCGGUGGCGAAGGCGGCCUGCUGGGCAGUUGCUGACACUGAGGCGCGACAGCGUGGGGAGCAAACAGG